rnacentral:rRNA from 1 species
UUCGUAGGGGGCAAGCGUUGGCCGGAAUUAUUGGGCGUAAAGAGUUCGUAGGCGGUUUGGCGCGUCUGCUGUGAAAUUUCGGGGCUCAACCCCGAACUUGCAGUGGGUACGGGCAGACUAGAGUGUGGUAGGGGAGACUGGAAUUCCUGGUGUAGCGGUGAAAUGCGCAGAUAUCAGGAGGAACACCGAUGGCGAAGGCAGGUCUCUGGGCCAUAACUGACGCUGAGAAGCGAAAGCAUGGGGAGCGAACAGG